AACGAACGCUGGCGGCGUGGAUAAGACAUGCAAGUCGAACGGGAACUUCAGCUGUAGCAAUACAGUUGAAGUUUUAGUGGCGAACGGGUGCGUAACACGUGGGCAAUCUGCCGAGAAGUGGGGGAUAGCUCGCCGAAAGGCGAAUUAAUACCGCAUAUGAUCAGCUAAGACAUCUUAGCGACAUCAAAGCCGGGGCAACCUGGCGCUUUUUGAGGAGCCCGCGGCCUAUCAGCUAGUUGGUGAGGUAACGGCUCACCAAGGCUAUGACGGGUAGCUGGUCUGAGAGGACGACCAGUCACACUGGAACUGAGACACGGUCCAGACACCUACGGGUGCAGCAGUCGAGUAAUUUUUCUCAAGUGGGGCAACCC
rnacentral:rRNA from 1 species